rnacentral:ncRNA from 1 species
GUUUCAGGGCGGGGCGAAAUUCCCCACUGGCGGUAACGGGCAAGGCCCGAAGUCCGCGAGCCGCAAUGAGGCGGCCGACCUGGUGAGAUUCCAGGACCAACGGUUACAGUCCGGAUGGAAGAAA